UCUAUGAAUAAUUCAAAGUAACAUGACUUAAGUUAUAAAACAAAACAUUUUCAACUUAUCAAAGUACAAGUGAAAUCUAAACAUUCUGGCAUUAUUUUGUUUUUUUAAAUCAAAUAUUUUCUCUACAUAAUUGCAGAGAUUAAUCAUUGGCAUUAUAAUCACAAAUUAAAUGAUAUAAUAAAGAACAAACAGAACAAUAAUAUAAAUAAAAUAUAAAUAAAGGAGAAACAUAAAGGUCAACAAUACAAGAGAGUCUCCGGAAAAAAGUACAAGAAAUAUCAGCACCGAGAACACGAUACAAAUAUUUAUCUGCUUGGUUGUUAUGCUUACAGACAUUCACAAAAAGAAUCAACGCACUUCUUACGUUGAGGGGGCCAACACAUAUUUUGUGGACAAUCACGUGAAAUAUGGCAAGGAAUAAAACCUGGAAUUUCAGAUAACAAACAAAAGAAAUGUUACUAAAAGCUAAUGAAAAUGUGUAUAAGAUGAAGAGAAAAAUUGAGAUGGUGUAAAAAAAUAACUUGCCCCCGUCGAUUACAACAAUGAAUAGAGAAAGAAAGAUGAUCGAAGCAUAAACAGUUUUGAGAAUUCGAUCCAUUUUGCUUGAAGAAUAUAGAAAACUGCUUGAUCACUUUCAAAGCAAAAGUUGCAUGCUUUGAUAUCGUUAAAUAUAAUUGUUGUUGGAAUAUUGGAGUUGCAAGAAGCCAUUCAUAAGAAUGGAAAUAUUGUUAAAUGUCUUUAAAGUAUAUCAAGGUGUUGUGUUUAUCUCUUUUACUCGUUGUUUUUGUUUGUUAAGUUUUCAAUAUUUCUUUUAGUUUUCUUUUAACCUUUUAUAACAGUGAAGAAAGAAAGUACCUAAAGAGAAAUAAUAGUGAUGAAUGAUGAAAACAAUUAACUGUGGUAACAAAUACAAGAAAGGUGGCAACACAUUAUAUUAAAUAAAAAGUAUCAUAAGAUGAACAAAAUUUGUUUAUUGAUUUAUAAGAUCAAAGUUAAUACCAAAGAUGCACGAAAGGAAAAUAAAUGGGCUUUGAUUGUGUUGGAGUUUUUUUUUUAUUUGAAUUUGAUGAUGUUUUUUUAUAUAAUA
rnacentral:lncRNA from 1 species